rnacentral:sRNA from 1 species
UACAAUUUCAUCCUACACACAAAAGUUCC